rnacentral:lncRNA from 1 species
AUACACACUCUGCAUAGAAAUUCUUAUGUAGUAAAAGAAGCCGAAGAGGUGUGUAGACAGAAGAAAGGAAAAUCACUUUAUAAAAUAAAACCAAGACAUGACUCUGGAAUUAAAGCAAAGAUAAGCAUGAAAACUUGAACAAUGAAAAGCAGAAUGAAAAUGAGUCAUUGCAACGACUUUCACAAAAUUCAGCUGACCUGAGAGUGGGAGGGAAACUACCGUCAUUCUGCUCAUGUUUCUUCUUGACCUCUUGCAUAAUCUUUUUGUUUUCUAGACAGUUCACUAAUUGUUGAAUUUUACUGUAUAUUCAUAUAAAAAUGCAAACGUACUAGACCAGUGGAGAAUUUGACACCUUUUCUUUUUGUAAAAGUUUAUGGUAUUAUACCGAUAGACCAAAACAGCAUGUGUAAGAGGCAGUAUCUGCACUAAUUCUCAACAUGCUAAACAUUAACUACAAUUCACUGUUGUGAGAAUAUUCCUCGUCACAGCAAAAACACUUUCCUUUCUACUGACAACCAGUCCUCCACAUCACAGCAUUUAGACAUAUGGGUAAAAUGUUAUUUCUAGUGAAUUGUUUGUAUCAGUUUCAUGUCUAAGUAUAAAUUUUCUAUUUUAAAAUUUAAGAACCGUUUAUAAUCAGUGCUUUCCCAACUCUUGGGUUGCUCUCCAUAACUAUGUAUUUGUGAAAGAAAA